rnacentral:rRNA from 1 species
UACGUAGGGUGCGAGCGUUGUCCGGAAUUAUUGGGCGUAAAGAGCUCGUAGGCGGUGUGUCGCGUCGGCCGUGAAAACCUGGGGCUCAACUCUGGGCGUGCGGUCGAUACGGGCAUCACUGGAGUUCGGCAGGGGAGACUGGAAUUCCUGGUGUAGCGGUGAAAUGCGCAGAUAUCAGGAAGAACACCGAUGGCGAAAGCAGCUCUCUGGGACGGUACUGACGCUGAGGCGCGAAAGCGUGGGGAGCGAACAGG